UUGAACGCUGGCGGCAUGCCUUACACAUGCAAGUCGAACGGCAGCACGGGUGCUUGCACCUGGUGGCGAGUGGCGAACGGGUGAGUAAUACAUCGGAACAUGUCCUGUAGUGGGGGAUAGCCCGGCGAAAGCCGGAUUAAUACCGCAUACGAUCUACGGAUGAAAGCGGGGGACCUUCGGGCCUCGCGCUAUAGGGUUGGCCGAUGGCUGAUUAGCUAGUUGGUGGGGUAAAGGCCUACCAAGGCGACGAUCAGUAGCUGGUCUGAGAGGACGACCAGCCACACUGGGACUGAGACACGGCCCAGACUCCUACGGGAGGCAGCAGUGGGGAAUUUUGGACAAUGGGCGAAAGCCUGAUCCAGCAAUGCCGCGUGUGUGAAGAAGGCAUUCGGGUUGUAAAGCACUUUUGUCCGGAAAGAAAUCCUUGGCUCUAAUACAGUCGGGGGAUGACGGUACCGGAAGAAUAAGCACCGGCUAACUACGUG
rnacentral:rRNA from 1 species